GGCCCGAGAGACCGAGAGAGCUGUGUUCAAGGUCGCCCAGCCAGCAAGCGUGAGAGCUGAGUUCAAGGCUGCACAGCUCGCCCUGCACUGCUUCUUAGAAAGGAAAGCGACUUCUGAAGCCGCCGUCGUGCCAGAGGCUGGCAGGGGGGCCGAGUGCGUGGUCGUGGCCCUGCUUCCACAUUCGAUUCAUAAUGAUCUCGGUUUCCUCGCUCGUGGUCUGCUGCAAGCAUCCCGCUGGAAGGAAUCCGAGAGGACUUUAAGAGGAUGGCACCGUGACAACAGAAGUGAAGGCUGACAGCCUGACACGGGGGAUGGAGACAAAACUCAAAGGCAGUCUGGAGACUGUGUACCAGGUUAUCCAGAGGAGCACAGAGCACAUGUGUGACGCAGAACACACAGAAUUGCCCAAGGACUACAUCCUUGAGAAGAGUUUUCAAGCUACUAAUUUUCAUUGAAAGGCAAAGAAUGAAGAUGCUGUGAGUGACUGGGACUGGAGCAGGGACAAUGGCCUUUGUGGGGACUCGAAUCCUGGCUCCUCCAUGGAUGGAAUCGUCCCAUUUGAUGGACUUUAACCUAUUCUUCGGCCUCACAGUCUUGGGAAGAGUGUCAACAAAUUGUC